GUCCUAGUUACCAGCACGUAUGGUGGGCACUCUAAGGAGACUGCCGGUGACAACCGGAGGAAGGUGGGGAUGACGUCAAGUCAUCAUGGCCCUUACGGCCUGGGCUACACACGUGCUACAAUGGUCGGUACAAAGGGUUGCCAAGCCGCGAGGUGGAGCUAAUCCCAUAAAACCGAUCGUAGUCCGGAUCGCAGUCUGCAACUCGACUGCGUGAAGUCGGAAUCGCUAGUAAUCGUGAAUCAGAAUGUCACGGUGAAUACGUUCCCGGGCCUU
rnacentral:rRNA from 1 species